CCAACAUGUCGUCGUUGCUCGAGCACCGGGACGCCAUCGACGGGAAGUCUUACUUCUCACCUCAUCUUGUCUCCCUCACAUGAACGAUGCAGCUUCACCGCUACCCUGACGCCAUCAAGGAGCAGCUACACGCCUGCAAGGCUGCAACAUCACCAACUCGACUUGGAUGCAGGGAGAGGAGACGCCCAACCAUGGGCAAGCUCUACGUCGGCAUCUGCCUUUGUAGCUUGGCCUAGGGUUAGCUGAAUGCUAAAGACAUGGGUAGUUCUGGGAGAUGGUGAUUAGGGACUGUUUUACAACACAUCAUCCUCUGUUUUUACACAUAGUUGUAGAAAAAAAUACUUUUAAUUAUUGCAAGUCGUGACUGUCAUGUGUAUGUUAUGAAUUCAGAAACUAUAACAUGUUUUUUUGCCACGGUGAAGGAGUAAACUGAACAAUUAAGUUGCUAGUUCAGUAUGUGAGUUGCAUCAUACUGUACAUGAAUGCUAGCUGAAUAUCAGUUCUGUAUGUUACUUGGUGCAUAACUUUUACUUAUUUGCAAGUCGUAGCUGCCGUGCACCCGUUAUGAAUUCAGAAACUAUAACAUCAAUUCGUCAACAGCUUUUUCUUAGUGGAGUUGCUAAUUUGGCGCUGGAAAGCUUGCUUUGCACAUAUCCCAUUGUACAUAAUUAAUAUUGGAUUAGUUACUUGCUUUUGGACACAUGCUAGUGGGAUGUUCUCUAGUUUCUCUAAAUCUAGUGAUUCGAAACUUCAAUGUAGUCAUUUUACAAUGCACCAUGGUUUCUUGUUUCUAUUGUGAAAGUAAUGUCAAUGGUGUUGCACGGUUCUGAAUAAAAAUGAAAAUGGCUUGUGAAUGUGAAUGAACUUACAAUAUCAGUCUCUUAGAGUUGUUUUUGCAACCUAAUAUUGUUGUAAUCCUUUCCUUGAGCUGCGGUUGAUGUGGUGGUCUGCUGUUGUGGAUGAUACAUGCAGGGGCUGCUGGAGAGCACGGAGAAGGGCAGGGUCCGGAGGCUGAUAGGCUCAAGCCUCCCGUGGAGCCAUGAUUUUCCGAGUUGAUGGAUCUUUCCUGUGCACGCCGGCAUCCAGGUCGGCAACGUGUGCUGGGAACUUUACUGCCUCGAGCACGGCAUCCAGCCUGAUGGCCAGGCAAACAGUGACAAGACCAUCCGGUGAUUCGCUGCUUGCAAACAACAGCUAGUAAAUCGGUCAUCGUGGGGGCGGGGACAUGAGAUUCAGAGAAGAGAUGCUGCUGCGUGCCUAUACUAGUUCAUAUCAGGCUCAUCCCUGGACCAGAUGUUCAAGUACAGCCCCAUCCACCGCAUCGACCUAGAGUCAGGUGCCCAGUUUGUGCUCGCUACCAAAGGAGCUCCAUGUUGAAGAAGAUUGAAGACACUUGUAGAGCUAUAGGGUUAACACCAGGGCAAUGUAUCAUGUGUAGAGCUUGUAUAUGUUAGAGCUUACUAUGUGUAGAGCUUGUAAAGUAUAUGUUAUUUGUACAAUAGGAGCUCUGUACUGAAUCUGGCUGAUAAUAUUUGGAGUAUUAUGUGUGUGUUUUGUUUGUGCCAAUUUAAAUACUGGUUAUUUAUUUACUGUUAAA